rnacentral:rRNA from 1 species
CCCUUAGAUGUUCUGGGCCGCACGCGCGCUACACUGAUGCAUUCAACGAGUCUAAAACCUGCUCUGAUAGGGGUGGGUAAUCUUUUGAAUGUGCAUCGUGAUUGGGAUAGAUGAUUGCAAUUUUUCAUCUUCAACGAGGAAUGCCCAGUAAACGCAAGUCAUCAGCUUGCAUUGAUUACGUCCCUGCCCUUUGUACACACCGCCCGUCGCUCCUACCGAUUGAAUGAUCCGAUGAAUAUCAUGGAUUGAGGAUUAUAGCAGGUUCGCCUGUCUUGAUCUUCGAGAAGUGAAGUAAAUCUUAUCAUUUAGAGGAAGGAGAAGUCGUAACA